rnacentral:rRNA from 1 species
GUGGGGAAUCUUCCGCAAUGGACGAAAGUCUGACGGAGCAACGCCGCGUGAGUGAUGAAGGUCUUCGGAUUGUAAAGCUCUGUUAAUCGGGACGAAAGAGCCUAGUGUGAAUAAUGCUAGGAAGUGACGGUACCGGAAUAGAAAGCCACGGCUAACUACGUGCCAGCAGCCGCGGUAAUACGUAGGUGACAAGCGUUGUCCGGAAUUAUUGGGCGUAAAGCGCGCGCAGGCGGAUCUGCCAGUCUGUCUUAAAAGUUCGGGGCUUAACCCCGUGAUGGGAUGGAAACUACAGAUCUAGAGUAUCGGAGAGGAAAGUGGAAUUCCUAGUGUAGCGGUGAAAUGCGUAGAUAGUAGGAAGAACACCAGUGGCGAAGGCGACUUUCUGGACGAAAACUGACGCUGAGGCGCGAAAGCCAGGGGAGCGAACGGGAUUAGAAACCCCGGUAGUCC